CCUGCUCCCCUCAGGGCAUUCCCAUUCUCCUCAGGCAUUUCCAGCUCCCCUCAGAAGUGUUCCCGUUCCCCUCACAGCACUCCUGCUCCAACCAGGUCCAGGUUCCAGUGUUCACACUGAGGCAGCUCCCUGUAACUCUAAUGCUUCAAACCAGUGGCAUUUAAAAGUUCUCAAGCUAUGUUAGCACUACAUCCAAGCCUUGGAAAUGCCCUUUCUGCAGAUGAGAACAUCCUGAGACCAUUUUUGGAAAUCCACUGAAACUGAGUCACACCAGCAAUCCAUCUUUGCUCCACAAGAUCCGUGUUACCACUGGAC